rnacentral:rRNA from 1 species
CCUACGGGAGGCAGCAGUGGGGGAUAUUGCACAAUGGGGGGAACCCUGAUGCAGCGACGCCGCGUGGGUGAAGGAGUGCUUCGGCAUGUAAAGCCCUAUCGGCAGGGAAGAAGCAAGACGGUACCUGACUAAGAAGCCCCGGCUAACUACGUGCCAGCAGCCGCGGUAAUACGUAGGGGGCGAGCGUUAUCCGGAUUAGCGGGGUGUAAAGGGAGCGUAGACGGCCAAGCAAGCCAGGGGUGAAAGGCCGGGGCCCAACCCCUGGACUGACCUUGGAAUUGCAUGGUCGGAGUGCGGGAGGGGCGGGCGGAAUUCUGGGUGUAGCGGUGAAAGGCGUAGAUAUCAGGAGGAACACCGGCGGCGAAGGCGGCCUGCUGGACCGCGACUGACGUUGAGGCUCGAAAGCGUGGGGAGCGAACAGGAUUAGAUACCCGGGUAGUC